AAUAAUAAUAAUAAAAACAACUUAGAAGUGAUGUGUGACUUGUGACUCAAUGAGUAUCAGUCUCUUUUGUUCACCCUCCACCUCUGUUUGUACCUUGGUGCAGAAAUGGACCAGAAUUUCUGGUUGCCACUGUGUUUGUUUUAUGUAUUCCAUUCAUUAACGGCCUUCAACAUUGAUCCUGCGACAUGGAAGACCUUCACAAACAAUGAAAACAGUGGCUUUGGCUAUAAAGUGAUACAGAAAGGUGCAAGUCUGCUUGUGAGUGAUCCUUUAAUACAACACAGCCAAACUCAAAGAGGACAAAUUUAUGACUGUUCUGUUACCAGAGGAAACUGCGUGCCACUGGCCAUUACUGGUACUUAGUUUUUUUGUAUGAUGCUUUCAAGUAUGUAAAAUAGGACUACAAUUACUUAGCUAUCUAAAUGGGGAAAUUACAUAGACUUAUGUUUUUAUAUACAGGUACAUUUUUAACCUAAACCCACCCCUACCCCUAAGCCUACCCUUCACAGAAAACUUCCUACAUUUUUACAAUUAAAAAAAAAACCUUUAUUUUUAUAACAGUUUUACAAAUGAGGACGUCCCCAAAUUGAGGUUUUUGGUGAUUUUGUCAGGUUUUGCUCACUUUUGGGUACAAAUUUGUCCACAAAAUAUGGUUAAGUAGGUACACACAUCACAUCACACACACACACACACACACACACACACACACACUAUUAUACACACACAAAUGAACUGGAUUGGCUGUAACAAUAGGGCAAAGAGCAAGAAGACUCAAAUAAGUGAAAGUGAAAGGACAUACAGCCAAGUAUGGUGACCCAUACUCAGAAUUCAUGCUCUGCAUUUAACCCAUCCAAAGUGCACACACACACACACGCACGCACACACGCAGCCUAUCCCCUGGUGUGCCUUGCUCAAGGGUACCUCAGUCGUGGUAUUGCUGGCCCGAGACUCAAACCCACAACCUUAGGGUUAGGAGUCAAACUCUCUAACCACUAGGCCAUGACUUCCCCCUUACAUUUUUGUUGAACUUUGUUGUUAUGUGUAAUACAAAUGUAUUUCUUUGUGUUCAGGUUUGACUGUAGUAAAACUAAUGCAAAAACUGAUAUUUCAAACCAACAUAAAAAAAUAACCUUUUAAAAAAUCUAAUCCUUUACAAAAAGUUGUUGUUGGUUUAAAGACUUAUUUCUUAUUCCUGAAUGACAACGAUUCAGCUAUGUCUAUUACGACUGUUUCACAUUUCGAGUGUCAGUGGAGCGUGAGAAGCACUUUUUGUCCAUGUUAAUGAAUCAUUCAUGCUGCUGCUGAUCCAGAAAGAGCAACACAAACAGUCUUUUCAAUCAGUGUGUCCCCCCAUAGAUCAGCAAUGGUUUGUUCCAAAGUCACAUGUCCAACAUCACGUGAUGUAUUUUCUUUUUUGGAGGGAAAUUUGAAGACAAUGUGGAAAGUCAUAACUUCUCCUCUUCAAUAUUUAAUCUAGAUUAUUGUCUGCACAUAGAGUAGAUGAAUUGACCGUCAACUGUGUUAUCAACAUGUUCUGGUGAACUUGCGUCACAUGUUAUAUUUAUAAAUAUGUAGAGAAAGAAUAUAAAAACAAAAGUUAAUCAAGGUCAUGUACUAACUUUUCCAAGGUCAGCCAUUUGCACAAGGCACCAAAAAUGGCCGAAAUGUCAACUGUGUUAUUGGUCAACUGCGUUACCCAUCAACUGUAACACAGUUGACAAGGAUUAACACAGUUGACAAUGUUGGCAAUUCAGUGUGUUGUUGAUAAAAAUAUACUGUAUAUUCACAAACUAUAGUCAUUACACAGAAAGUACAUAGGAAUUGCCUAAAACCAUGGAAAACAAUGGCAAGGCAAGGCAAGUUUAUUUAUAUAGCACAUUUCAUACACAAUGGUAAUUCAAAGUGCUUACAUAAAAGAAAGUAAAAUAAUCAUUUAAGAAAAAACAAAACAAAGUAAAACAAUGAAUUUAAAAACUUUGAAAAUUAUUGAAACAUUGAUUUGAAAUUAAUUUAAAACAGUUAAAAAUAGAAAAUGAUUUUACAUAAAAUAAAGUGAAUACAUAAAAUACAGUGCAAUCAGUUCGGACAUCGCACAACUAAAGAGAUGAGUUUUGAGUCUAGAUUUAAAAGUGGCUAAUGUUUUAUCAUAUCUGAUCUCUUCUGGAAGCUGAUUCCAACUGCGGGCAGCAUAGUAACUAAAAGCAGACUCCCCUUGUUUUGUGUGAACCCUUGGUAUUUCUAACUGACUCGAUCCUGCUGAUCUGAGAACCUCCCCCCACAUACACAUCGAAAUGUUGUAAAGUGCAAAUUAAUGCCAACAACUCCCUUUCAAUGGUUGAAUAAUUUCUCUGACACAAAUUAAACUUCUUAGAAAAGAAGCUAAUUGGUCGAUCAAUGCCGUUGUAAUCUUUCUGCAAUAAUGCAGCUCCAGCACCCAGCCCACUCACGUCUACCUUUAAAUGGAAAGGAUGGUCUCAACAAGGUGCUGUUAAUACGGGAGCAGAACUCAGCAAAAGUUUGGCAUUAUCAUAAGCAUGUUGACAAUUUCAGGACCAUUCAUAUUUCUGUUUAGCCUUCUAACAAAUCUGUUAAAGGAGCAGCCACUGUUGAGAAAUUGUCACAGAAUUUUUGAUAGUACCCAAUCAUUCCUAGAAAUCUCAUUAGCUCUUUCUUCGUAGAAGGAACUGGGAAAUUAUCAAUGGCAUGGACUUUUGCCCGAACAGGACACACUUUACCUUGUCCUACCACAUUUCCCAAAUAGACCACAGUGGCAAGUGCAAAUUCACAUUUCGCUAAAUUUACCAUCAACUUUGCUGUCUCAAAAUGAGUAAAUAAAGUGUGCAAUUGGCAAAGAUGUUACUCCUAUGUCUGGCUAUACACCACCACAUCGUCCAGAAUUACUGCACAUCCUUCAAGCCCAGAGAUUACCAAAUUCAUCAGGCGCUGGAAUGUAGCUGGAGCAUUUCGAAGACCGAAACUCAUUCACUUAUAAGAAUAUAAUCCAGGAGACGUCAUGAAAGCACAGACUAGUUUGGCACAUCACGGUCAAUAUAUAGAUGGAACCAGUUUUAGAAGGAGGUAAUGGCCCCACACAAUCAAUCGUUAGAUGCUCAAAGGGAUUUUUCACCACAGGUAUAGGAUACAAUGGAGCAGGAGAUAUCACUUCGUUCGGUUUUCCGACCAAUUGACAGACAUGGCAAGUUUUUAUAAAAGCAGCCACGUCUCACUUUAAUCAAGGCCAAAAGAAAUAACGCAUCAUGCUGUGAUAGGUUUUCUUCACUCUGAAAUGACCAGCAAUGUCAUCGUGAGCAGUUUUUAAAAUGAACUCCCACAAUCCCUUUGGUAUCACUAUUUGAACCACC
rnacentral:lncRNA from 1 species